ensembl:lncRNA
GUACGGAGAAAGACUGUGGACAGACCCGAUGCAUUAAACAGAAGAGAACAAAGGAAAUAAAGCAGCUCUACUAUUUAUAUGCAACAAAGUGCUUUACAAAGCAUACUGAAGUGCAUUCCUUGUUUUAUGGUAUACCUUUUCUUUACUGCAAGCUCUUGAUGUUGGUAGGGCAGGUUUAGAAAGGUAAGAAGGGAAGGAGUUGAGAACAAGAUGCAGAUAAUUUUUGAGGAAAGUGAAACUUCAGGAGAAGCAGAGUGUUUUCCAUAGUAACGAGGUCCCAAAAGAUGCAAAGUGAAGAGAAGAGUGGGAAAAAGAAAUGAGGAAAAGAACUUGAGUAAGUACAUGGAGUUCAAAUUCAGAAACUGCUCCGUGUGAAGGUAAGAAGACAAAGAAACCAGUUAUGGUUCAGUGAUGCACUUCUGGAGACUAGAGAAUGCACAGAACCUGUUAGCUGGCACGAGUUGGUGAGCAAGGGUCUUCAGGAAUGCCGUGAGGACCUUUGGGCAGUGAAUGGGACAGAGCUGCUUCGUUCCAUGAACCUUGUGGGAUUCAUACUCUGCCUUCUGCCUGGACAUCAUCGUCUUUAGAUUCGCCAGGUGGUGCUGCAGCGAGGCCGGAUCUGCUGGCAAGUCACUGGAGGAAGGGAAGCAGUCGCUGUUCUCCGCUGGGACGUGUCCCAUGUUUUCCUGAACCCCCAAAACAUGACUCACAACUGUGUUUGCUUCUUGGGAGUCUUCUGGGUGGAGAGACAGCAACUGUGGAGCUCGGCAGCUGUUUCUCCUGCGAACGUGAAAGCCUUCUCCUGCUGCGAUUACUGCGGGCGUUCCUGUCUGCCACCCUUGCGCCUUCUCCAACCCAUGAGAAACGAUCGCAGUGCAGCCGUUCCCCAGCGCCGGGGCGGCAGCGUAGGUCUCCUGUGCCUCUGCCGAGCUGCGAUGGAGCAGCGCGCAGCCGGCGACCCACGCUCCGAGAGCGGGGAAGGAGCCGGCCUCCCCCAGCCCUGGCAAUCCUCAUGCUCCAAGGAGAUGAUGUGGGGGGAAUCGAGGAGUUAACAGGGCAUAGAAAAUUCAGAGAGUUGCUUUUAAGGUGCGUCACCUGCGGUGCCGUGCUGGAUUCAAGCGGCACAAGCACGUGUUCAGCCUGGCCUGCAAAGCCUUGGCAGCUCUGUCAUGCAGCGGGGAGCUGCUCCGGCCCUGGAGCUGAGGUGCCGUGGCUGCUCCCAGCCUCUCCUGGGACAUCCUGUGCCUGGACCAGGUUUUCAGUAAGCAGGACAGGGGCCUGCAGACUUGAGAAAAAGCUGGCUGUGGUCUUGUGCCUUUAACGCUAAAACUGCCUGUUGGCACUGGGAUGGCAAACAAUUUUUUCUGACGUUUCAUCACUUUAUGAAAAGUGCGAUACAACUGCUCAGUUGUGCAUCAGUUGUGUGAUAAUAUGACUGUGGGAAAAUCAUCCUAACUUCUAGCUUUUAGUGCUCUUCCCCAUCUCCUUUCUUACACUUCUAAGCACUGGUUUAUACGCUUACAUUAGCGAGCACUUUGGUGGGAGAGAGCGCUCUCAUUUUUGGAUUCUGCGAAGUUGCUUACCUGGGCAUUAACCUGGUACUGACGUGCUGUUAGCAGAUAACGUAGAUGAAAUGAGUAUCCUUCCUGCCUGCUCCCCUCAUGCAAGCUCACCGCUAAGGCUGGUGCUGCUUGAAAGCAACACAAGACUCGUCGGCCCCGUUGCCAUCAUGAACAGGAGCGGAGGAGAAGGAUGUUGCCUUUCCGCUUUCCCGUGGAGGUGAGUGUGCCGGCAGUGGGGUUGGCACCGCAGACCUUGUCAGAAGAAAAACUUACCUGCUCAGAAGCUGAUAAGUCCUGCUGUUGCUGCGUGAACAGCACAGAUGGUGUCGGAGCGGAAAGAGGAAGAUAAUGGCACAAAAUGCUGCUUUGAAGGUUGCUCCGGCAGCCAGGGGCAGAGACAAGGGUCCGGCCGCAGGAGAUAGAUAGCUUCUUCGAGCAGGAGGCUCCAUUCUGUGUUUCCAGAUGACAGUCCCAGGUGCAGAUGUUUCCGUGCACUGCAGCGUGGGCCGGCACCAACCUGCAGAAAGGCCUACGCAUGCCUACAGCUCCUCCUGCACUCUUGAAAAUCAUGUCCCGUGAUUCUUCGGACAAUCUUGCAACACCUUUUCCAUAGGGUGACUCUCACAGCUUCUGAGCUUCAGGAUAAGGACUUGGCGUGCUUCAGAGCAACAUAAAAAAGAUAUGGCAGCUGGCAUCUGAUUGACUCCUUGCUUCCUAUGUUAAUUAUAACAUUAAUCAGGCACAGUACCACACAGUAUUGAUUUUUUUUUUUUCCUACUCCCCCUCUAGAUUUACAUUUAUACAUAUGCGCUGCUCUCCUUUCACCUUCUCCGUGGCUACUCUAGGACAAUUCCUUAUAUUAAUUUCCUAACAAAUUAAAGGUCAAUGAUGAAAAGAGUUGUGUAUUUUUUUUUUUCCUUGAGGCAGAGGAAAAACCCUGUUCCAGACUUUAGGCUUGUAUGGAGCUGGGAUGUUUUGAAAAAUUGCUUCUUAUUUUGGCCUGACUUGGAUGGAACUUGUAAUUCUCUGGAAUGACCUGGCCUUGGAACGCAGCACUGCUGCCCUGUGCGGUUAGAACUCAACAUGCUGGAAAUAGUUCCUCCAAGCAAGUUGUGGGAUUUGGCCUCCCUCGACUCUGGUCUUAUGCCAGCUGCCUGUUUCUGUGCAUCAUUUCUGAUCUCUGAAAGAGAGAACAGAGUAUGCUCAGUUCAUAGUUUGUAAGGUAACACUGGUGCUGUGGACAGAGAAGAUGUGACUGUUCCAAAAAGGAUGUCGAAUUACCCAAGCAUAUGCAUGUUUCAGAUUACUAGAUAAAAGCUCAUAACUUUCUUGUCCCAAAAGCUGGUGAUAAUUGGGCUCUGUUCUUGUAAACCACAUUUAUUGGCACUUUCUGCUCUUUAACCUGGUGGUAGAGACAAAGUGCUAGCAAGGGCGAAACCACAGUCACCUGCAGGCAGCUGCACCUAGCUUACGGAAGAGGCGUUGGGCAUCUCCUUAUCCCAGCCACAACUCUUUGGGUGGUGUGUUGAAAUAGCUGUGUGCAGUGUGUGCAGAGAGCCAAGUGCUUCUCAAAAUCUGCUAGAGACAAGCAAAAACCAGAGAGGUGGGGAAAAGUAAUACCUAAAAACCAGCACUGCCUACUCUGAACUCACCUCCUGACCUCUGAGCUAAUUAUUUAUUGUGCUGGAUAUGUUGAAUAAAUGGAAACAAAGAAAAUCUCUCUCCA